rnacentral:rRNA from 1 species
CAUGUCUUUUUGAAUUUUAUUUAAGGUUUAAUCUGCUCAAUGAUAUUUUAAAUUGCCGCAGUAUUUUAACUGUGCAAAGGUAGCAUAAUAAUUAGUUUUUUAAUUGGAAGCUGGAAUGAAUGAUUGGACGAGAGAGUAACUGUCUCUAAUUUGAAAUGUGAAUUUAAUUUUUAAGUUAGAAAGCUUAAAUUUUUUUCUUAGACGAGAAGACCCUUUAGAGUUUUAUUUAAUUUUUUUAUUAUUUUGUUUAGUAUUGUUUUAAUUUAUAUUUUAAUUAAAUUUAAUUGGGGUGAUUGUAAAAUUUAUUAAACUUUUACAAAUUUGGGUUAUGUUUAAGUAAAUAUUAAUUCUGAUGUUGAUUAAGAUUAAAAUAAAUUACCUAAGGGAUAACAGCGUAAUUUUUAUUUGAAGUUCUUAUUUAAAUUUAAGAUUGCGACCUCGAUGUUGGAUUAAAGUUUACUUUUGGUGUAGUAGCUAAGAAGUUGAGUCUGUUCGACUUUUAAAAUUUUACAUGAUCUGAGU